UACGUAGGGACCGAGCGUUGUCCGGAUUCAUUGGGCGUAAAGAGCUCGUAGGCGGCUGCUCAAGUCGAAUGUGAAACCUCGAGGCUUAACCUCGAGCCUGCAUUCGAUACUGGGCGGCUAGAGUCUGGUAGGGGGAUCUGGAAUUCCUGGUGUAGCGGUGGAAUGCGCAGAUAUCAGGAGGAACACCGGUGGCGAAGGCGGGUCUCUGGGUAGUAACUGACGCUGAGGAACGAAAGCGUGGGUAGCGAACAGG
rnacentral:rRNA from 1 species